ACCUUUACCUGGCAUACAGGUUUUACAGUGAUCCGCAAAGGCUGUGGGGUCUGGCGAGACCUUCCAUUGCAUGCCAUCGGCUUGGUUGAUCUCGCGAUCGUCCCAAUGUGGACGACUCGGGCGCGCAAUUUAUAAGUGUGGGGACUGCGUUCGCGCUCUCCCCU